CCAGCGCGACCCAGUUGACUCUGGGUCCACGUGCUGAUAUCGCCUCCGUCUCUAGUGGUUGUGACCUUGAAUAACCAUGUUCUCUUAGGGGCAGGCCUGGUUUAUGGAAGGGAAGACAUCUGUGUGCUUCUCUCUUUGUGCACAGGGCUCGUUGACGUUGGGGACACUUUGCUGUGCCCAGAAAACUUAGGUCCCGAGGAGGUUGUGGAACUGGAGAAUCGAGCCGUCCUGACCAACCUGCAGCAGAAGUACCUGACCACGCUCUCCAACCCCCGGUGGUUACUGGAGCCCGUGCCCAGGAGAGGCGGGAAGGGCAUCUUCCAGGAACAGCACUGAAAAACACCUACAGGAAACAAAGAUCAAUUUCCACGUCACCAUAAAGGACGGGAGGAGCCCAGAGAUGCUGUACGCCGUGCCCCCCGAGCUGGCCCGGGCCCUCACUCCUUCCAAGGCUGACCGCUCGCUCUGCAAACACAGAGUGAAGGAUGGACUCCCUUCCUGCCCGGCAGGAGAAGCUGCUGGACAGGGGCCUGGAAGGAGCGCGGCUGCAAGUCUGGCUCAGGCCCCCUCUUCCUCAUUGCUCACGGCCUCCUCAGACAGGGACGGGAAGGAAAUGGGACCCUUACUGUUGAGUCUAAACAAAUGCUCCAGGACUUGCAACUUGCUGGUCUCCGCGUGGGCCCGGGGCCCCCACAGGAACUCGUGGCGAGCGGGAUCGCUGUCGGCCACCUGCCGGUACUCCAGGACGAUGACACCCAGAAGUAUCACCAGGAGGCCGUUCUUGGGCAUGCUCCGCUCAUCACCCUGCAUCCCAUCACAGGGACUCGGCACCGGCAGAGUAGGAAGAGGAGACGGAGGAGGAGGAGGAGGAGGAGGAGGACGAGGAGGACCGGGGGGAUGCGGCCCCCUCCUGCUCAGCCUCCAGCUGCUGCACAUCCACCAGGCCCUGGGCGUCUCUUGGGUCCUGAAGGUCUUCCACAGCCUGGCGGAGCUCACUCAUCUGAACCAGGGACAUAAUGACAGGUGUUGGCAGCUGACAGGAGUCUGGGCCGGGGUGACAGGUGGGGACCCAGUGGCCUUGUGGGAGGACAAGCUUAUCGACCUUCCCAGGGUUUCUAGGGCUGAACGAGGUUUCCUUUGGUGUCCCAUCUUUGUUGUGGGCGUGCGGGUCCCCUCACCCUUCCCUCGGGCCCUCACCUUGACUCCUGGGAGGACCCGGGACUCUUCUCUCUGUUGCCAAGGCGUGGUUCCUUCAGAUGAUCUGACCCGUCCUCUCACACCAAGGUCCUCACCUCCCUGAAAGGCGGGAGAGAAAGGAGAGGAGGCCCCUUUCCUGCUGUGAUUCAGGACAAGGAUACCUCUGGUCAUUGACUUUGGUUUCUGGGCACAGUUCCUUGUUCACAGCUCCCAAAGCCCUUGGGAUGUCCUCAGUGUUGAGAGUGAUGAAUGUGCUUUUUUUGUUUUUUAUGUGAAUGAGAUGUGUUUGCAAAGCACCUAAAAUGGGGCUGGUUGCCAGAAGAGCCAAUCAUGUGAUUAAAAGUUUGGAUCUUUUGGCCCCUCCCCAGCACCACCAGGGAGGGGAGAAAGGCUGGA